rnacentral:rRNA from 1 species
AUACAGAGGGUGCAAGCGUUGUUCGGAAUCACUGGGCGUAAAGGGCGCGCAGGCGGUUUGGUAAGUCAGAUGUGAAAGCCCACGGCUCAACCGUGGAAGUGCAUUUGAAACUGCAAGACUUGAGUACCAGAGGGGAAAGUGGAAUUCCCGGUGUAGAGGUGAAAUUCGUAGAUAUCGGGAGGAAUACCGGUGGCGAAGGCGACUUUCUAGCUGGAUACUGACGCUGAGGCGCGAAAGCGUGGGGAGCAAACAGGAUUAGAUACCCUAGUAGUCC